GUGUAUAAACAUAUGUUUGCAAGUCAACUGUAAUAGUUGAAAUUUCAAUAAAGAUUAUUGAAAAAAAAAAAAGAAAGUCAACAUAGAUGCACUGUAUUUUCCGAUUGCCAAAGGUGAGCACUGGGUUAUAUUUCUUCACACCUGUAUGUUAACUUAUGUCUAACAGUGUAGCAGGUCGACUGUGAUUCCUCAAUUAUUCUUCUAUGCUGUUGUGCCCAGUUGUUGGACUGCAGAGGUUGUGGUGUAGUGCUCCAUAUAUAGCAGUGUAUAAAGCUGGCCAUAAACAAUCCUAUAAAAGUUUCUGACUGUCCUUCCAGACCAAGUCCACAUUAUUGGCCUUUGUAUGGGGCCCAUAAAUAUGUAUCUGACAGGUUUAAUAAUACUUUAACGAAAGCAUUGGUGCGCUGAUGGCCUUUGGGUCAAUGAUCAGAUCAGCCUGAUUUGGACCAGCAGUUGGGUGGCCAAAUAAGGGUGAGAAUAAUGCAUUGUAGGAAAAAUUUUCUUUUCCAUUUUGAAAUCAUUAAGUGAAACAGCCAUAAAAUAUACUGGCUGAGGUAUAUAAGAAGGCCACUUUUAAUGGAAUAGAAAAGAACAAACUGCUGAAACACUUUGCUUUAUCUACAGUCUAAAGACUAGUCGUUUUCUGUAGAAUAUAAUUUUUGGAAACAUACUGUAAGCUGCUGAUUUAGCUUCCGGAGACCUUCCAGCCUUUAUCUUCCAGGAUCGUACGAUUACUGUGAUGUUGCCCACAGAGGAGGCAACUGAAACCAAAGUGGUCAAAAACAGCUUAAAUCCAACUUGGAAUGAGACAUUUCAGGUAUAACUUGAUCAGUUAUAGAAAAAAAACUUAUAUUCCUCUCUUGGUCAAUAUGUAAAUACAAUAGCAGCUUCCACACUACACAAAAAUAAUAAAAUAUCCAAUAGCUUUCACUCAUUGAUAAAUUAUAUUCUAACAAUUCUAUAGGACGUUUUUCUACGAAGAGCUCUAAUCUCACAUUUUGAUAAAUCUGUCCCUAUGUGUUCUUUACACACAAUAAAACCUUUUUACGGUAACACAUUUUUGCAUUAUAUAACCUUGUAUGUUUUUAGAUGGCCCUUAAAUAACAACUCAAGUGUUGAGUUAUAAUUUGGGUGAAAAAUAAACUUUUGGGCAGGUGAACUUAUAAUAUUAUUGUUAUCCAAUAUUUCCAUAUCUGUCUCAGCAAUUAUAAUAUAGUUAUAUGCCCUUUCUGAAUUUCAGCUACUCUGUUGCUCUGUUUUAUUUGUGUAAUUGACCUCUUUUUCCUUUCUCCCAUAUCUAGCUGCCAGAUCAGCAUUGAAAACAUCCUUACGCACUCUGUCACUGACAUGGUGCUGAUGGAGAACAGAAACUCUGCUGUGUAGAUUCAGAAAUUUUGGCCAGCUAUCCUCUAUGUCUAUGUUAGAAGUGCAGACCAUCAGAAAUAGUAAGGACCCAUUGUGGAACAAGUCAUACCAUUUUCCAACACAGAUCCCUUAUGAGAAGAAAUUACAUGUUUCUACUUCAAUCUGUAGCUGUGCAUGGUGAGCUUUUGCCUUUUUUUAUUGCUUUGUUUGCUGUAAUUCUGCAGAUUCUUUUCCUUGUUAUUGAGGGAAAAGGCGUGCGUCACAGGCGCUUGGGCACCUUGUCUAUGUCUGUCUGUGACCUAGUGUUGGCAGAAAACCUCACCAUGGAAGGCUGGUUUAAAUUGCAUUCACCUCAUCCACUGGCUACUAUCAACAUAAGACUGUAGUUGAAGGUAAGCAAGAGAUAUUCCACACUCUAUUCUGAAACUCAUUUAAGAUAUUUGUGUAUUUAACGAAAAGUUUAUCAUGUACAGAGAACUUUCUAUUCUCCAAAUAGAGGGAAUAAUUUUAUUUUACUCUGAAACAUACAUAAGGGUCCAAAUAUGGCUCCAUUAGUUACGGAAUAAAUUAACUGUAAUGAUAUGCAGGUGAUCAGGAAAUAAUUGAAGGAAAUAAUUAAUUUUCUGUCAUGUCUCCAUAAAAUCAAUCUGAUUCCCUCAAAUGUAUGUUGCUAUAUAGUGAUUGUUUCACAGUCAGCCUUUUAAAACCAAAAUCCUUUUUAGUAAAACAAUUUAUCUGAUAUUUAAAAAUAAGAUAGUAAUAAUACA